rnacentral:lncRNA from 1 species
UGGCGCGGCGGGGUCGGUUGCCUCCUCGCGACGGCUGCGCCGGGAUGUUCCGGGGCGGUGGGGUCGCCUGCCCAAUGUCGGGUGCGCGAGUGACGGGUGGAAGCUGGAUUUGUGCGCGUUCUUCAAUGCUCCAAAGGGAGGAGGGAGCCUCCGAGAGUCCACGUGGGGCCGGUGGGAUUCGCAGGGUCCGUUUUCUAAACAUUGGGUGUCCUCGAACCUGGGGGCGCGGGCUGUGUCCGCCCCCAGCAGGGAUGACCAUGCCUGGGUCAGUGGCUGCAUAAAUAAAUAAACGAAUGGGGAGGAAAUUGAUAAAAUAUUAAAAG